CCUACGGGUGGCAGCAGUGAGGAAUAUUGGUCAAUGGACGAGAGUCUGAACCAGCCAUGUAGCGUGAAUGAUGACUGCCCUAUGGGUUGUAAACUUCUUUUAUAUGGGAAUAAAAUGUUCCACGUGUGGGUUUUUGUAUGUACCAUAUGAAUAAGGAUCGGCUAACUCCGUGCCAGCAGCCGCGGUAAUACGGAGGAUCCGAGCGUUAUCCGGAUUUGUUGGGUUUAAAGGGAGCGUAGGUGGAUUGUUAAGUCAGUUGUGAAAGUUUGCGGCUCAACCGUACAAUUGCAGUUGAAACUGGCAGUCUUGAGUACAGUAGAGGUGAGCGGAACUCGUGGUGUAGCGGUGAAAUGCUUAGAUAUCACGAAGAACACCGAUGGCGAAGGCAGCUCACUGGACUGCAACUGACACUGAGGCUCGAAAGUGUGGGGAGCAAACAGGAUUAGAUACCCGUGUAGUC
rnacentral:rRNA from 1 species